rnacentral:rRNA from 1 species
AGCAGCCGCGGUAAUUCCAGCUCCAAUAGCGUAUAUUAAAGUUGUUGCAGUUAAAAAGCUCGUAGUUGAAUUUCGGGAUCAAUAUGUCGGUCGUGCCUUCGGUACGUACUGGCAUCAUUGAUUUCUCCCUUCUGACGAACCAUGAUGUCAUUAAUUUGGUGUCAUGGGGAAUCAGGACUGUUACUUUGAAAAAAUUAGAGUGUUUAAAGCAGGCUCACGCUUGAAUACAUUAGCAUGGAAUAAUGAAAUAGGACGUUUGACCCUAUUUUGUUGGUUUCUAGGAUCAACGUAAUGAUUAAUAGGGAUAGUUGGGGGCAUUAGUAUUCAAUUGUCAGAGGUGAAAUUCUUGGAUUUAUUGAAGACUAACUACUGCGAAAGCAUUUGCCAAGGAUGUUUUCAUUAAUCAAGAACGAAAGUUAGGGGAUCGAAGACGAUCAGAUACCGUCGUAGUCUUAACCAUAAACUAUGCCGACUAGGGAUCGGAUGAUGUUAAUUUUUUAAUGUACUCAUUC